CAGUGACGACUGAUUGACACCAAUACCCACUGAGCAGCCGGGAAAUUGCAGUCAAUCAGAGCGUAGCUGUGGUGUCGAUUCUGAUGAGGGUAGGACUUUCACAUCUGUGCUGAGGCGCCGCUUUCUCCUGGCGGACCGCCACUGCUGUCAGAACCCGCUGAAGCAGACAGGAAGCUGGUCCCAGCAGGAAAAGCUGAGGUGUAGUGGAAGAUUAGAAUUUGCACAUGGUUUAACUAAAUAGGAGUGAAAGGAAUUAGAGACCAGCGUCCGAGCUCUUAGUUCAUGUGAUCAUGUAGCGGAGGAAGUGGGCCUGCGCCGGUGGAUGGAUGGUUCUGGCUCUACACGUGGACCCCUCCCGCUCCGGCACUAAGACUCUGAUGAGGACUCGGCUUGUGCUGUGACGUGUAACUUUGGUGGGCACAUGGACCGUCAGAUGUGGGCUCAGGUCAGAGCGUCCGAGUGCACGCAGCUGUGAGAGGACAAAGAGGUGUGUAGACGUCUUCCUGGCUUCAGCACCGCACAUUAUUGCUGCUUCAGCUCAUCCUACAACGUACAUGGGACUCACUGCUGAGCCAGCGGGCAGCCAGGGAGCUAAUUAGCUUCCUCCUGUCUGGAGUGUGUGGUCAGAGCAGGCUUCGCGUGGAGCCUUCCACUUCUGUGACUUCCAGCAUCGCAGGGAGGAGGAGGCUGGAGGGGGCCGGUGGGGACAGGUGGAGGCCGGAGGUGUGAUCGCGCCGUGGCUGAGAGACUCUUGAAUAACAUAAAGGUGUGUUGAACCUAGACGUGAACCCAUGAAAGCUGCUGAACUGAUCAACGGACUGUUAAGUUUCCAAAUGUUCACGCCUGAUGUUUCUGGUGUUAUUCUAGUGUCACCAAAUGCAAAUGUGCCUUUUGGUUAAACACGUUCACAUCACUGAAUUCAAGAGAAGCUUUAAAACACAUUUGAAGGCCUGUUGCUGAUCCUCCCCCUCAGAGGCGUUGCUAGGCAACCAGAUAAACACAUUGUCUGCAAGGAGAUAUGUGUUGCACUCUCAGCGCUG
rnacentral:lncRNA from 1 species